ensembl:snRNA U2 U2 spliceosomal RNA
AUCACUUCUUGGCCUUUUGGCUAAGAUCAAGUGUAGAAAUAACUGAAAAUCCAGUACAACUACCUAAAGAAUAGAUCAUAUAAUUUUAAAAAGCAUAAAGGCUAUUUAUUUUAUGUUUCAUCUUUUUUUAAACUGCAGUUUCAUGGACUUAAAAUUUUCUAAGAUGACACAGG